CCAGCCGCAGCAGGAAGUCUUCAGCGGCGGCGCUGAUCCGCUCAUGGACCGACACCCGCAGCAGCUGCACGGCGCACAUCUUCAUCCGUGUCUGCGGACAAAGACAGAGAGACAGCGGUGGAGACGGUUUUCUUCAAACUGCAGCUGCUGCUGAUAAAGAGGGUCGAGUGUUUUUCUGGCCAGACGAGUUCUUCUCUUCAACACACACUUCCCGUUAUCCAUCAGUCCCCGAGCUCGGAUCACCUCCACGUCCAGACGCUCCUUCCUGUACACCAUCCCGAUCUGGAUGUCACCUAGAUGACCACCGAGCAGCCAAUCAGAGGAGUUACUGUCAUAUGACGUCAC